rnacentral:lncRNA from 1 species
GCUUCUUCAUCUAUCUAAAUAGAAUCAAAGACAUUCAAAGAGAACAACCUGUUAGAUGUGUGCCCUAGAUGCCAGAUUAGCUGACAUAUUCCUGUACAAAUCUAAGGGCAAAUUUAUAAUUUUGACUAUAAAUCAAUAAAUGGGUUAUUCUUCUAUCACAUUGUGUACAUUGUGUCUGUGAUACAUCCUUUGAGUUAGUAG